rnacentral:rRNA from 1 species
UACGUAGGGGGCAAGCGUUGUCCGGAUUUAUUGGGCGUAAAGAGCGUGUAGGCGGCCAUUCAGGUCAGCUGUGAAAACUCGAGGCUCAACCUCGAGACGUCGGUUGAAACCGUUUGGCUAGAGUCCGGAAGAGGAGAGUGGAAUUCCCGGUGUAGCGGUGAAAUGCGCAGAUAUCGGGGAAGAACACCCGUGGCGAAGGCGGCUCUCUGGGGACGGUACUGACGCUGAGACGCGAAAGCGUGGGG